CAGGAAGAUGCUAACUUCCGGGUAAACCGAUCCAACCCGCCACCACGCAUGCGCACCGUGUCGGACUGGGCUCGUUGGACGCCAACAGAUUGAGGCGUCGGCUGUGUCUCGCGAUCUUUAAUCUGUAAAGAUUUAAUCUAUAAUCUAUAACCACACGGACACUUUUCGUCAGUUAGCCGACAUGAAGUGUCACUUUCCUUCCAACAUGUCGACCUGCCGCUCGCGUCGCUGCCGGUUCUGGACGUUUUCAAACGGAUUCAUGUCGCAGAAGUUCGGCUGGAAAGCGAGAAAAGUGAGACUUCGCCUCUCGGACUCGGACACUCGGUCUGUUCCGUGAAGAUUAGGUUUUUUUCACGUAGUUUUGGAAGCUGCGUUCAGGUGUGUGUGUGUGUGUGUUUCUGCCUCGGGGGUUAAAACGUCUUUCGGAGCUGAACCCGUCAGUUAACCGCGGAGGAGCGACCCGGUCACUUCCGGUGAGCAGGUGACUCUUCUCCCUCUGCGGGGUAUAACAACCAGGUGUGUCUGCUGUUCAUUCACAGACUGACAGGCAGCUCUCUCCAUCCCGGAAUGGACUGCUACAACUCUUCCGAUCCAGCUGCAGUGAACGCCACCAUAGUGUACGACUACAAUGACCACCAGGGAGAUUUGUGGAGCAGAAAUAUUGAGGAUGUUCAGGAUCAGCCUCUCCUCCACUGUUCCUCGACCUCCCUCCCUCUUGAGACGCAGUGCACCGUCUGUCUCAACCAGAUCGUGUACGCCGUCUGCCACAAACUGAAAGACGGUGUGGUUCUGACGAUGGAGGCUCUAGAACGCCACAUCAAAAUCUCCAAGAGCGACUGCCCCAAACUUCUCUCUGACGCUCCUCCACAGUGGCCUCUGGUCCUCCUCGUCGCCCUCCUCGUGCUGGUCCUCCUCAUCUUUGCGGUGUGUUUCUAUCAGAGACAGAAAAGGUACGUGUAGCUGUAGUUUAUUGGUAUUUGAAUAUGAGACUGUAACGAAUACAGCAGAAAGGAAAUACGGGUUAAAUCAGGAUGAGCUGAGAACUUAUUUAUCAGCAGCCGAGGAAGAAGUAUUAUACUUAUUAAUGAGUUUAUCAUUAAGAUACGUUGUGUUGUUGUUCCGUUUGUUUGCUUGAUGAAUUAACUCAUGAAUGAACCCGUCCUGUGUUCACAGACAGAGAACCCGGACGCCUCAGAAAGCCGGGUCACGUUCCCUCACUGACGUGCAGCAAGAAGCUCCGCUGACGGCCACAUCUUAACUUCUCUAAAGUUGAUAAGAUGAUGAAAUAAAAUCACAAACAGAUGUAAAUAAACUUUUUAAUUGUCAAUCCAAAAAGUGAACUGUGAGCUCGUGUGAUAUCUUCCAGAUCUGCAGUCGCUGAUAAAAUCUUUCUUCCUUUUUCUUUGACAAACACAUCGUCACCUUUUACCGAGUUAAUGCAGUUCAUAGGAAACAAAUCAGGAACUAAAUGUACAGAGAGUCUACUGACGUCCCAACGCUGUCCUCAUCCAUUCACUCUUUAAUGCGGCCAGACCCAGUUUGUGACAAACUGAGACUGAUAUGACUUGAACAUUUUCUGUCUCUCUCCAACACAGUUUUCUGACAUAGAGAGCUGAAGCCCCGCCCCUUCCUGUUCCCCUCCUGGUACCUUAUGGUUUGAAUUGUGUUAUGAAUCACACACGAUAAAAUAUGAAACUGAAAAUACGUGGUUAUAACAGCAUCACAGCUGACAGCUGUUGCAGUUGUCAAUAUGAGCAGAUUUAUCGUGACAUCCAUCUUUUUUGGAACCUUUUCUGGCCCAGUUGGCUCCAUGAUGAGACGGUGUAGUUCAGAGCUUUAACACAAAACUACAUGAGGUUUGACUGUAACUCCAUCAUGUGUGAUAUUCAUGACCCAGUUCAGACCGGAUCAGUACUUUGUCAUCUCUCUUCAGUCACUACAGACAAUGAUUUUCCAAAAUAGGUCCAGUGGGUUUCACGGGACAGGACGAGACUUUGGCUCUCUAUUCUGACUCUUCAGUAACUGUCCCACCAUUUUACACAGUCAAAGGGGACGACUCAUACUUUGCUACCGGAAGUUUGAAGUUUGCAAACACAAUAAACGAUGUUUGCUUUAUUGAAAGUUUCAACCACAAUGUCUCACUUUGUGUCGUUCGGGUCUUUCCAUCUGUAGCUACGUAACUUCUUUCGCCCCUCAGCGAGGAUCAGACAGCUGAAUGAAAUGUGUCAGGAGAGGGUUGACAUCUUCACAGCUGCAGGGGUCAGACACUUCUUCCUCCCGCAGCUUCCUUGGUAGUCUUUCACAUUUCGAGUCAAGAGUGAGACACCAAGAUGAUGAUGAUGAUGAUGAUGAUGAUGAUGAUGAUUACAAUAAAAAGAGGUGACAAUGAGCGAUCAGCAGUGUCAUGUAGAAGAAACCACAGCGAGGAGGUGACUUCUGAGGUGAGAACAGGAAAUGGCAAAGUUUUUUUUUUCUUUUUUUCUCACUUUGCUUGGGUAUUUCUAUGUUCUUUUACUUUUUACUUCCAUGAAAAUGCAAAAUAUUGGUUGUGAUAAUAACACUCAGUAUAAAGUAGAUACUCUGAUCUUCACUUUGACCAAAGUAAUAUCUUAACACGACAUCUUUACAUUCACUCACGUAUGACUUUAUGACUGAAAUCUGUGGUGGAAUAAAAACAAUUACAUUUGCUUCAGUAUAAUUUUGGAAUAUUACAGUAGUCGAGUAUUUAUGAUU
ensembl:lncRNA